AUUGAACGCUGGCGGUAGGCCUAACACAUGCAAGUCGAGCGAGCGGCGGACGGGUGAGUAAUGUCAGGGAAACUGCCUGAUGGAGGGGGAUAACUACUGGAAACGGUAGCUAAUAACGCCUACCAUCAGAUGUGCCCAGGUGGGAUUAGUUAGUUGGUGGGGUAAAGGCCUACCAAGGCAACGAUCCGUAACUGGUCUGAGAGGAUGAACAGUCACACUGGAACUGAGACACGGUCCAGACUCGUACGGGAGGCAGCAGGGUGGAAUAUUAGACAAUGGGCGGAAGCCUGGUCCUGCCAUGCCGCGUGUGUGAAGAGGGUCAUCGGAGUGUAAAGCACUUUGUGUUGGGAGGCGUUACCAACAGGAUAAGCACCGGCUAACGUCGUGCCAGCAGCCGCGUAAUU
rnacentral:rRNA from 1 species